ACCCCUACCCUCACCAUGAAGGUCAGAUUAUACCCUUACCCUCACCAUGAAGGUCAGAUUAUACCCUUACCCUCACCAUGAAGUUCAGAUUAUACCCUUACCCUUACUAUGAAGGUCAGAUUACACCCUUACCCUCACCAUGAAGGUCAGAUUAUACCCUUACCCUCACCAUGAAGUUCAGAUUAUACCCUUACCCUUACUAUGAAGGUCAGAUUACACCCUUACCCUCACCAUGAAGGUCAGAUUAUACCCUUACCCUCACCAUGAAGUUCAGAUUACACCCCUACUCUCACUAUGAAGGUCAGAUUAUACACUACCCUCACCAUGAAGGUCAGAUUACACCCCUACCCUCACUAUGAAGGUCAGAUUAUACACUACCCUCACCAUGAAGGUCAGAUUACACCCCUACCCUCACUAUGAAGGUCAGAUUACACCCCUACCCUCACCAUGAAGGUCAGAUUACACCCCUACCCUCACUAUGAAGGUCAGAUUACAUCCCUACCCCCACUAUGAAGGUCAGAUUACAUCCCUACCCUCACUGUGAAGGUCAGAUUACACCCCUACUCUCACCAUGAAGGACAGAUUAUACCCUUACCCUCACCAUGAAGUUCAGAUUAUACACUACCCUCACCAUGAAGGUCAGAUUAUACCCCUACCCUCACCAUGAAGUUCAGAUUAUACACUACCCUCACCAUGAAGGUCAGAUUACACCCCUACCCUCACCAUGAAGUUCAGAUUACACCCCUAUUCUCACUAUGAAGGUCAGAUUAUACACUACCCUCACUAUGAAGGUCAGAUUACACCCCUACCCUCACUAUGAAGGUCAGAUUACAUCCCUACCUUCACUAUGAAGGUCAGAUUACACCCCUACCCUCACUAUGAAGGUCAGAUUAUGCACUACCCUCACCAUGAAGGUCAGAUUACACCCCUACCCUCACUAUGAAGGUCAGAUUACAUCCCUACCCUCAAUAUGAAGGUCAGAUUACAUCCCUACCCCCACUAUGAAGGUCAGAUUACAUCCCUACCCUCACUAUGAAGGUCAGAUUAUACACUACCCUCACUAUGAAGGUCAGAUUAUACACUACCCUUACUAUGAAGGUCAGAUUACACCCCUACCCUCACUAUGAAGGUCAGAUUAUACCCCUACCCUCACUAUGAAGGUCAGAUUACACCCUUACCCUCACCAUGAAGGUCAGAUUAUACCC